rnacentral:tRNA from 1 species
GCGGCAUUAGCUUAGUGGUAGAGCCCCUGCUUCGUGUGCGGGGAGACCCGGGUUCGAUUCUCGGCUGCUACC